AACGAACGCUGGCGGCAGGCCUAACACAUGCAAGUCGAGCGAGGACUUCGGUCCUAGCGGCGGACGGGUGAGUAACGCGUGGGAACGUGCCCUUUGCUUCGGAAUAGCCCUGGGAAACUGGGAGUAAUACCGGAUGAGCCCUUUGGGGGCAAGAUUUAUCGGCGAAGGAUCGGCCCGCGUUGGAUUAGGUAGUUGGUGGGGUAAUGGCCUACCAAGCCGACGAUCCAUAGCUGGUUUGAGAGGAUGAUCAGCCACACCGGGACUGAGACACGGCCCAGACUCCUACGGGAGGCAGCAGUGGGGAAUCUUAGACAAUGGGGGAAACCCUGAUCUAGCCAUGCCGCGUGAGCGAUGAAGGCCUUAGGGUUGUAAAGCUCUUUCAGCUGGGAAGAUAAUGACGGUACCAGCAGAAGAAGCCCCGGCUAACUCCGUG
rnacentral:rRNA from 1 species